CCUACGGGUGGCAGCAGUGAGGAAUAUUGGUCAAUGGGCGCUAGCCUGAACCAGCCAAGUAGCGUGAAGGAUGACUGCCCUAUGGGUUGUAAACUUCUUUUAUAUGGGAAUAAAGUGCAGUAUGUAUACUGCUUUGCAUGUACCUUAUGAAUAAGGAUCGGCUAACUCCGUGCCAGCAGCCGCGGUAAUACGGAGGAUUCGAGCGUUAUCCGGAUUUAUUGGGUUUAAAGGGAGCGUAGGCGGGUCUGUAAGUCAGUUGGGAAAAUUGGCGGCUCAACCGUAAUAGUGCAGUUGAUACUGGCAGCCUUGAGUUGAGGAGAGGUAGGCGGAAUGCGCGGUGUAGCGGUGAAAUGCUUAGAUAUCACGAAGAACUCCGAUUGCGAAGGCAGCCUGCUGGACUGUAACUGACGCUGAGGCUCGAAAGUGUGGGGAUCAAACAGGAUUAGAUACCCGAGUAGUC
rnacentral:rRNA from 1 species